rnacentral:rRNA from 1 species
UACGUAGGGGGCACGCGUUGUCCGGAAUUAUUGGGCGUAAAGCGCACGUAGGCGGCUUCUUAAGUCAGGGGUGAAAUCCUGGAGCUCAACUCCAGAACUGCCUUUGAUACUGAGAAGCUUGAGUCCGGGAGAGGUGAGUGGAACUGCGAGUGUAGAGGUGAAAUUCGUAGAUAUUCGCAAGAACACCAGUGGCGAAGGCGGCUCACUGGCCCGGUACUGACGCUGAGGUGCGAAAGCGUGGGGAGCAAACAGG